AAUGAACGUUGGCGGCGUGGAUUAGGCAUGCAAGUCGAGCGAGAACCCCGCAAGGGGGGACAGCGGCGAAAGGGACAGUAAUGUGUAGAUUAUCUGCCCUCAGGUCCGGGAUAGCUGCGGGAAACUGCAGGUAAUACCGGAUAACAUCUCCGGAUCAAAGGUGUGAUUCCGCCUGAGGAUGAGUCUGCAUCCUAUUAGCUAGUUGGUGGGGUAAUGGCCUACCAAGGCAUUGAUGGGUAGCAGGUGUGAGAGCACGACCUGCGUCAUUGGGACUGAGACACUGCCCAGACACCUACGGGUGGCUGCAGUCGAGAAUCUUCGGCAAUGGGCGCAAGCCUGACCGAGCGACGCCGCGUGUGGGAUGAAGGCCUUCGGGUUGUAAACCACUGUCAGAGGGGAUGAGAUGCAGGUGGGUUCUCCCAUCUGUUUGACAUAGCCUCAGAGGAAGGACGGGCUAAGUUCGUG
rnacentral:rRNA from 1 species